rnacentral:tRNA from 1 species
GCCAAAGUAGUUCAGUUGGGAGUGUGUUAGACUGAAGAUCUGAAGAUCCCUGGUUCAAUCCCAGACUCUGGCA